rnacentral:tRNA from 1 species
GGGCGCUUAGCUCAGUUGGUUAGAGUACUUGCUUGACAGGCAAGGGGUCAGAGGUUCGAGGCCUCUAGCGCCCA